UUCCGGUUUUCAUGGGGGGGGGGGGCCCCCUCUAUAGGAGGGUUUUGCCCGCUCAGAUUGAACGCUGGCGGCAGGCCUAACACAUGCAAGUCGAACGGUAGCACAGAGAGCUUGCUCUCGGGUGACGAGUGGCGGACGGGUGAGUAAUGUCUGGGAAACUGCCUGAUGGAGGGGGAUAACUACUGGAAACGGUAGCUAAUACCGCAUAACGUCGCAAGACCAAAGAGGGGGACCUUCGGGCCUCUUGCCAUCAGAUGUGCCCAGAUGGGAUUAGCUAGUAGGUGGGGUAACGGCUCACCUAGGCGACGAUCCCUAGCUGGUCUGAGAGGAUGACCAGCCACACUGGAACUGAGACACGGUCCAGACUCCUACGGGAGGCAGCAGUGGGGAAUAUUGCACAAUGGGCGCAAGCCUGAUGCAGCCAUGCCGCGUGUAUGAAGAAGGCCUUCGGGUUGUAAAGUACUUUCAGCGGGGAGGAAGGCGAUAAGGUUAAUAACCUCAUCGAUUGACGUUACCCGCAGAAGAAGCACCGGCUAACUCCGUGCCAGCAGCCGCGGUAAUACGGAGGGUGCAAGCGUUAAUCGGAAUUACUGGGCGUAAAGCGCACGCAGGCGGUCUGUCAAGUCGGAUGUGAAAUCCCCGGGCUCAACCUGGGAACUGCAUUCGAAACUGGCAGGCUAGAGUCUUGUAGAGGGGGGUAGAAUUCCAGGUGUAGCGGUGAAAUGCGUAGAGAUCUGGAGGAAUACCGGUGGCGAAGGCGGCCCCCUGGACAAAGACUGACGCUCAGUGCGAAAAGACGGG
rnacentral:rRNA from 1 species